UGGGGAAUAUUGGACAAUGGGCGCAAGCCUGAUCCAGCCAUGCCGCGUGAGUGAUGAAGGCCCUAGGGUUGUAAAGCUCUUUCACCGGUGAAGAUAAUGACGGUAACCGGAGAAGAAGCCCCGGCUAACUUCGUGCCAGCAGCCGCGGUAAUACGAAGGGGGCUAGCGUUGUUCGGAUUUACUGGGCGUAAAGCGCACGUAGGCGGACUAUUAAGUCAGGGGUGAAAUCCCGGGGCUCAACCCCGGAACUGCCUUUGAUACUGGUAGUCUUGAGUUCGAGAGGGGUGAGUGGAAUUCCGAGUGUCGAGGUGAAAUUCGUAGAUAUUCGGGGGAACACCAGUGGCGAAGGCGGCUCACUGGCUCGAUACUGACGCUGAGGUGCGAAAGCGUGGGGAGCAAACAGG
rnacentral:rRNA from 1 species